AGAGUUUGAUCAUGGCUCAGAUUGAACGCUGGCGGCAGGCUUAACACAUGCAAGUCGAGCGGGGAAAGGUAGCUUGCUACCUUACCUAGCGGCGGACGGGUGAGUAAUGCUUAGGAAUCUGCCUAUUAGUGGGGGACAACAUUUCGAAAGGAAUGCUAAUACCGCAUACGCCCUACGGGGGAAAGCAGGGGACCUUCGGGCCUUGCGCUAAUAGAUGAGCCUAAGUCGGAUUAGCUAGUUGGUGGGGUAAAGGCCUACCAAGGCGACGAUCUGUAGCGGGUCUGAGAGGAUGAUCCGCCACACUGGGACUGAGACACGGCCCAGACUCCUACUGGAGGCAGCAGUGGGGAAUAUUGGACAAUGGGGGGAACCCUGAUCCAGCCAUGCCGCGUGUGUGAAGAAGGCCUUUUGGUUGUAAAGCACUUUAAGCGAGGAGGAGGCUACUUAGAUUAAUACUCUAGGAUAGUGGACGUUACUCGCAGAAUAAGCACCGGCUAACUCUGUGCCAGCAGCCGCGGUAAUACAGAGGGUGCAAGCGUUAAUCGGAUUUACUGGGCGUAAAGCGUGCGUAGGUGGCCAAUUAAGUCAAAUGUGAAAUCCCCGAGCUUAACUUGGGAAUUGCAUUCGAUACUGGUUGGCUAGAGUAUGGGAGAGGAUGGUAGAAUUCCAGGUGUAGCGGUGAAAUGCGUAGAGAUCUGGAGGAAUACCGAUGGCGAAGGCAGCCAUCUGGCCUAAUACUGACACCGAGGUACGAAAGCAUGGGGAGCAAACAGGAUUAGAUACCCUGGUAGUCC
rnacentral:rRNA from 1 species